rnacentral:rRNA from 1 species
GUAACACGUGGGAAUUUACCAAGAAGUGGGGAAUAGCUCGACGAAAGUCGAAUUAAUACCGCAUAUGAUCGCAAGAUCAAAGCCGGGGACCGCAAGGCCUGGCGCUUUUUGAGAAGCCCGCGGCCCAUCAGCUAGUUGGCGGGGUAACGGCCACCAAGGCUAUGACGGGUAGCUGGUCUGAGAGGACGACCAGCCACACUGGAACUGAGACACGGUCCAGACACCUACGGGUGGCAGCAGUCGAGAAUUUUUCACAAUGGACGAAAGUCUGAUGGAGCGACGCCGCGUGGAGGAUGAAGGUUUUCGGAUUGUAAACUCCUGUCACUGCAGAACAAGGAUAUGCUCGUUAACAGCGAAUGUAUUUGAUGGUAUGCGGACGAGGACGGGACGGCUAACUCUGUGCCAGCAGCCGCGGUAAGACCAGAGGUCCCGAGCGUUGCUCGGAUUCAUUGGGCGUAAAGGGUGUGUCACGAGGUCGGGUCAGACAGGUGUGAAAUCUCCAGGGGCUUAACCCUGGAAAA